rnacentral:rRNA from 1 species
GAUGAACGCUGGCGGCGUGCCUAAUACAUGCAAGUCGAGCGAACAGACGCUGAGCUUGCUCCUCUGACGUUAGCCGCGGGCGGGUGUGUAACACGUGGAUAACCUCCCUAUAAGUCUGGGAUAACUUCGGGAAACCGGCGCUAAUACCGGAUAAUAUAUUGAACCGCAUGGUGCGAUAGUGAAAUACGGCUUUGCGGUCACUUCUAGAUGGUUCCGGGCCGUAUUAGGUAGUUGGUACGGUCACGGCUUAGCAAGGCGAGGCGGCGUGGCCGACGUGAGAGGGGGAUCGGCCACAUUGGAGCGUGACCACGGUCCAGAGUACUGCGGGAGGGAGCAGUAGGGAAUGGUCCGCAAUGGGCGAAAGCAUGACGGAGCAACGGCACGUGAGUGAUGAAGGUCUUCGGAGCGUAAAACUCGGUUAUUAGGGAAGAACAACUGUGUACGUAAAUAUGCACGUCUUGACGGUACCUAAUCAGAAAGCCCCGGCUAACUACGUG